rnacentral:misc_RNA from 1 species
GAUGAAGAACGUAGCGAAAUGCGAUACUUGGUGUGAAUUGCAGAAUCCCGCGAAUCAUCGAGUUUUUGAACGCAAGUUUCGCCCGAAGCCAUUCGGCCGAGGGCACGUCUGCCUGGGUGUCACGCAUCGUUGCCCCCCCAAACUCCGGUUCGGGCGGGGCGGAAGUUGGCCUCCCGUGCGUGCCUGCGCGCGCGGUUAGCCCAAAAGCGAGUCCUCGGCGACGAGCGCCACGACAAUCGGUGGUUUUUUUACCCUCGUUCCUCGUCGUGCGUGUCCCGUCGCCCAAACGCGCUCUUGUGACCCUCACGCGUCGCCUCGGCGGCGCUCCCAACGCGACCCCAGGUCAGGCGGGACUACCCGCUGAGUUUAAGCAUAUCAAUAAGCGGAGGA